ACGAACGCUGGCGGCACGCUUAACACAUGCAAGUCGAACGGAGAUAUUUGUAGUUACUUAGGAUAUCUUAGUGGCGGACGGGUGAGUAACACGUGAGCAACCUGCCUUGGAGAGAGGGAUAGCUUCUGGAAACGGAUGGUAAUACCUCAUAACAUACAGAGACCGCAUGAUUUCUGUAUCAAAGAUUUAUCACUCUGAGAUGGGCUCGCGUCUGAUUAGCUAGAUGGUGAGGUAACGGCCCACCAUGGCGACGAUCAGUAGCCGGACUGAGAGGUUGAACGGCCACAUUGGGACUGAGACACGGCCCAGACUCCUACGGGAGGCAGCAGUGGGGAAUAUUGCACAAUGGGGGAAACCCUGAUGCAGCGAUGCCGCGUGGAGGAAGAAGGUUUUCGGAUUGUAAACUCCUGUCUUAAAGGACGAUAAUGACGGUACUUUAGGAGGAAGCUCCGGCUAACUACGUGCCAGCCGCCGC
rnacentral:rRNA from 1 species